UUCAAACACUGGCUUCCGUAUGAUCACCGACGUUAAGCAACGUCGAGCCUUGUCAGUAAUUAGAUGGGCGACUGCUCGGGAAUAACAGGUGCUGUAAG